AUAGAGACUCAGAGCUGCAUAUCAAUAAGCGGAGGAAAAGAAACUAACUAGGAUUCCCUCAGUAACGGCGAGUGAAGCGGGAAGAGCUCAAAUUUGAAAUCUUCAAGGUUUACCUUGACGAAUUGUAGUUUAUAGAAGUGUUUUCUGUAGUGGAGUUUGGUAAAAGUUCUUUGGAAUAGGACAUCAUAGAGGGUGAGAAUCCCGUAUUUGACUAUUAUCUCCAGCUUUGUGAUACACUUUCAAAGAGUCGGAUUGUUUGGGAAUGCAGUCCAAAAUGGGUGGUAAAUUUCAUCUAAAGCUAAAUACUGGCGAGAGACCGAUAGCGAACAAGUACCGUGAGGGAAAGAUGAAAAGAACUUUGAAAAGAGAGUUAAACAGUACGUGAAAUUGUCAAAAGGGAAGCGUUUGACACCAGUGUUGUUUUCUCGAAAAUCAAUUAAGAAUGGCCUGAUUUUGUGUUGUAUUGACCUUAUCAGCUUUCUUCACUUUUUUCGUAGUCUUUCUUAAUGCACUUUUCGGUUAACAAGUCAACAUCAAUUUCUUUUGUUGUAAAAGAGUCAUUGGAAGGUGGCUUUCUUUUCGGAGAAAGUGUUUAUAGCCCUUAUGCCUCUACAAUCGGAGAGAUUGAGGUCUGCAGCGUAGAUCCUUCGGGGUUAGAUACACUUGUGCUAAGUUAGUAGCCUUUCAUAGACAACUUGUUGACUAUGAUCAGUCAUGUAGCUUACUCGCUUAUGCUAUUUUACCUACGCUUAGGAUGUUGACGAUCAGCUGAGCGCG
rnacentral:rRNA from 1 species